GUUUUAAUAAUUUAAUAAAAAUAAUGAUUUUGUAAAUCAUAAAUGAAGAAUAUUCUUAAAACA
rnacentral:tRNA from 1 species